rnacentral:rRNA from 1 species
UACGUAGGGUGCAAGCGUUGUCCGGAAUUAUUGGGCGUAAAGAGCUCGUAGGCGGUCUGUUGCGUCGGCUGUGAAAACCCGGGGCUCAACUCCGGGCCUGCAUUCGAUACGGGCUGACUAGAGUUCGGCAGGGGAGACUGGAAUUCCUGGUGUAGCGGUGAAAUGCGCAGAUAUCAGGAAGAACACCAAUGGCGAAAGCAGCUCUCUGGGACGGUACUGACGCUGAGACGCGAAAGCGUGGGGAGCGAACAGG